rnacentral:rRNA from 1 species
AACGAACGCUGGCGGCAUGCCUAGCACAUGCAAGUCGAACGAGACCUUCGGGUCUAGUGGCGCACGGGUGCGUAACGCGUGGGAACCUGCCCUUAGGUUCGGAAUAACUCCCCGAAAGGGGUGCUAAUACCGGAUAAUGUCUUCGGACCAAAGAUUUAUCGCCUUUGGAUGGGCCCGCGUUGGAUUAGCUAGUUGGUAGGGUAAAAGCCUACCAAGGCGACGAUCCAUAGCUGGUCUGAGAGGAUGAUCAGCCACACUGGGACUGAGACACGGCCCAGACUCCUACGGGAGGCAGCAGUGGGGAAUAUUGGACAAUGGGCGAAAGCCUGAUGCAGCAAUGCCGCGUGAGUGAUGAAGGCCUUAGGGUUGUAAAGCUCUUUUAUCCGGGAUGAUAAUGACAGUACCGGGAGAAUAAGCUCCGGCUAACUCCGUG